AAUGAACGUUGGCGGCGUGGAUUAGGCAUGCAAGUCGAGCGCGAACCCGCAAGGGGGAGAGCGGCAAACGGGGUAGUAACGGGUAGGUGACGUACCCUCGGGACGGGGAUAGCCACGGGAAACUGUGGGUAAUACCCAAUAACCUCUUAAGGCGUAAGGCCUAGAGAGCAAAGGUGUGAUUCCACCGGAGGAGGGGCCUGCUUCGUAUUAGCUAGUUGGUGAGGUAACGGCUCACCAAGGCGACGAUGCGUAGGGGGUGUGAGAGCAUGACCCCCACCACUGGGACUGAGAUACUGCCCAGACACCUACGGGUGGCUGCAGUCGAGAAUCUUCGGCAAUGGGCGCAAGCCUGACCGAGCGACGCCGCGUGUGGGAUGAAGGCCCUUGGGUUGUAAACCACUGCCAGAGGGGAUGAAGUGUUCCGGAGCAAUCUCCGGGAUUUGACAUAGCCUCAGAGGAAGCACGGGCUAAGUUCGUGCCAGCCGCCGCCGUAAGAC
rnacentral:rRNA from 1 species